UGAGUGCGAGCGGCUACGGCCGCGAAGUGGGUGACGUCAAGCUUCCAAGAAAAGCCCUAUACCCGUUAAGGCAUGAUGGCCUGUACCCGAAACCGACACAGGUGGGGUGGUAGAGAAUACCGAGGGGCGCGAGGUAACUCUCUCUAAGGAACUCGGCAAAAUGGCCCCGUAACUUCGGGAGAAGGGGUGCCACCGCAAGGUGGUCGCAGUGAAGAGGCCCAGGCUACUGUUUACCAAAAACACAGGUCUCCGCUAAGUCGCAAGACGAUGUAUGGGGGCUGACGCCUGCCCAGUGCCGGAAGGUUAAGGAAGCUGGUCAGCGCAAGCGAAGCUGGCGACUGAAGCCCCGGUGAACGGCGGCCGUACAAUAACGGUCCUAAGGUAGCGAAAUUCCUUGUCGGGUAAGUUCCGACCCGCACGAAAGGCGUAACGAUCUGGGCGCUGUCUCGGAGAGAGGCUCGGCGAAAUAGAAUUGUCUGUGAAGAUGCGGACUACGUGCACCCGGACAGAAAGACCCUAUGAAGCUUUACUGUAGCUUGGUAUUGUGCCCGGGCUCUGAAUGCGCAGGAUAGGUGGGAGGCUUUGAUCCAUGGCUUGCGGGUCAUGGUGAGCCAACGGUGAGAUACCACUCUUUCAGAGCUAGGGUUCUAACGGUCACCCGUCAUCCGGGGACCGGACAGUAUCAGGUGGGCAGUUUGACUGGGGCGGUCGCCUCCUAAAAGGUAACGGAGGCGCGCAAAGGUUUGCUCAGGCUGGUUGGAAAUCAGCCGACGAGUGCAAAAGCAGAAGCAAGCUUGACUGUGAGACCUACAAGUCGAACAGGGACGAAAGUCGGCUUUAGUGAUCCGACGGUUCUGAGUGGAAGGGCCGUCGCUCAACGGAUAAAAGUUACUCUAAGGAUAACAGGCUGAUCUCCCCCAAGAGUUCACAUCGACGGGGAGGUUUGGCACCUCGAUGUCGGCUCAUCGCAACCUGGGGCUGAAGUCGGUCCCAAGGGUUGGGCUGUUCGCCCAUUAAAGCGGUACGCGAGCUGGGUUCAGAACGUCGUGAGACAGUUCGGUCCAUAUCCGGUGCACGCGCAGGAACAUUGAGAGGAUUUCUCCCUAGUACGAGAGGACCGGGAGGAACGCACCUCUGGUGUGCCAGUUAUCGUGCCAACGGUAAACGCUGGGUAGCCAUGUGCGGAGUGGAUAACCGCUGAAAGCAUCUAAGUGGGAAGCCCACCUCAAGAUGAGUGUUCCCAUGGCAUAAGCCAGUAAGGUCACGGGAAGAACACCCGUUGAUAGGCUCUACGUGGAAGCCGGGUAACCGGUGAAGCGGAGGAGUACUAAUAGACCGAGGGCUUGAU
rnacentral:rRNA from 1 species